UGGGGAAUUUUGGACAAUGGGGGAAACCCUGAUCCAGCCAUGCCGCGUGCAGGAUGAAGGCCUUCGGGUUGUAAACUGCUUUUGUACGGAACGAAAAGUCUCUUCCUAAUACGAAGGGGUGAUGACGGUACCGUAAGAAUAAGCACCGGCUAACUACGUGCCAGCAGCCGCGGUAAUACGUAGGGUGCAAGCGUUAAUCGGAAUUACUGGGCGUAAAGCGUGCGCAGGCGGUUAUGUAAGACAGAGGUGAAAUCCCCGGGCUCAACCUGGGAACUGCCUUUGUGACUGCAUAGCUGGAGUACGGCAGAGGGGGAUGGAAUUCCGCGUGUAGCAGUGAAAUGCGUAGAUAUGCGGAGGAACACCGAUGGCGAAGGCAAUCCCCUGGGCCUGUACUGACGCUCAUGCACGAAAGCGUGGGGAGCAAACA
rnacentral:rRNA from 1 species